rnacentral:rRNA from 1 species
UACGUAGGGUGCAAGCGUUACUCGGAAUUACUGGGCGUAAAGCGUGCGCAGGCGGUUGUGCAAGACAGAUGUGAAAUCCCCGGGCUCAACCUGGGAACUGCAUUUGUGACUGCACGGCUGGAGUGCGGCAGAGGGGGAUGGAAUUCCGCGUGUAGCAGUGAAAUGCGUAGAUAUGCGGAGGAACACCGAUGGCGAAGUCAAUCCCCUGGGCCUGCACUGACGCUCAUGCACGAAAGCGUGGGGAGCAAACAGG